GAAGACGACCAUAGUAACUUGGAAACACCUGUUCCCAUUCCGAACACAGAAGUUAAGCUUGUUACGUUGUUGGUUAUAGUUUCCUAACGGAAGUGAACCCAAGAAGUUGUCUUCA
rnacentral:rRNA from 1 species